GAUGAAUGCUGGCGGCGUGCCUAACACAUGCAAGUCGAACGGACAUUUUUUGGAAAGUCCUUCGGGACGUGGAAUCUAUAACUUAGUGGCGGACGGGUGAGUAACGCGUGAGCAAUCUGCCUUUAGGUAGGGGGAGUAACAGUCGGAAACGGCUGCUAAUACCGCAUAAUGCAUCAAUUUCGCAUGUUAUUGAUGCCAAAGGAGCAAUCCGCCUUUAGAUGAGCUCGCGUCUGAUUAGAUAGUUGGUGAGGUAACGGCUCACCAAGUCGACGAUCAGUAGCCGGACUGAGAGGUUGAACGGCCACAUUGGGACUGAGAUACGGCCCAG
rnacentral:rRNA from 1 species